UACGUAGGGUGCGAGCGUUGUCCGGAAUUAUUGGGCGUAAAGAGCUCGUAGGCGGCUUGUCGCGUCGCUGUGAAAACCUGGGGCCUCAACCCCGGGCCUGCAGCCGAUACGGGCAAGCUAGAAUUCGGUAGGGGAGACUGGAAUUCCUGGUGUAGCGGUGAAAUGCGCAGAUAUCAGGAGGAACACCAAUGGCGAAGGCAGCUCGCUGGGACGUGACUGACGCUGAGACGCGAAAGCGUGGGUAGCAAACAGG
rnacentral:rRNA from 1 species